CGGCGAGGGUGGGGAGAGAAAAAAGGAACGCAGCGGGGAGGGGGAAAAGCAGCUUGCAGGAUGGGAGUUUCUUGCAGAAUUUACAGGACUAAGGAGUUUGGGGAAGUCGCAGAGCCGCAGCGGAAAGGCAGGGGUCUGAGACUACUUUUGAGAAGAGAAACAACGCAAAACGAUCGCUGGAGGGCCAGAGCCCUGAUCGAAGAGAAGAAGCAGACACAGGUUCCCACGGCGUCUGACGCCUGCGGAGCAAGUCCAGAGCCAGCUGGACUCGCAGCCUCUGGCCCGGCGGCACCAACUCCAUACUGGGUCAUUUUGAGCGCGCUGUGCCCACCUUUUCUGUUGCGUGUGGACGUGGGGAGGAUCUUCUAAGUCCCUCCAACGAAGGCAAGUGUGAGACUCUGGCCCUUUAUUUGUAAGAAGCAAGCCUUCAGAUUGCAGAAGUGUCGCGCGGGUCGCCAUGCGUUGCGCGAGUGGGAAGAUGGAGGAGGCCGGCACGCUGCUUUCGUGGACGCAAGUGAACCGGCCGUGAAGGCAGGGUGCGAGCUCUGCCCUUGGCCCAGCCCUGCGUGGGCGCCGUCCCAGAUUCCGGGCGGUGCGGGGUGCAGAGAUCUGGAGAGAGUUGCGGGGUGCAGAGAUCUGGAGAGACUUGCGGGCUCCCCAGCGCAGGCUGCUCUGGGAUUUCGUUGGAAGAUCCGGCAGAGCCUUGGAGGAGAGGGCCCGGGAGGCUGUGUGUGCAGCGGAAACUUGUACGAAUGCCCCCACAGCGGAAAUGGUGCGCACGAGUAAUUUCUGCGGUGCACCCUUUUAAAAAUUGACAAGUGAACAAGAUCAAUUUUUUAAGAAAGCAAAGGUAGAAAACAAAAGGCGUGCGACUUCUUGACUGGCUUGUUCCCGCCUUUCUUCCUUCUCUAUACUCAGAUCAGAAACUUUAAUUGCUCUUAUUCAGUGCGACAACUUUUAAUAAAAGCAUUUGCAUUUUAAGCCUGAGUUGCAACCAUAGAUUUGUUGCGAAGUGACAACGUGUCUAUGGAAUAUUUUCGCAGAUGAGACAGGACAUGCGCUCUAGUCGUGCCCAGAUUAAAGGGACGCUGGUCCAUGUGCCUGUGUAGUGCAGACUCGGAGGGGCACACACAUACUCGUCAUCACAUGACCACUGUCUAUUAAUAUUGUCAUACCUAAACACUCGCAAAAACAAAAGUUGCUUUUCU
rnacentral:lncRNA from 1 species